GCCUUGUUUAGUUCUAAAAAAAUUACAAUUUUUUUUAAAAUUUUUGUCACAUCAAAUCUUGUGACACAUGCCUGAAACAUUAAAUAUAGAUUAAAAAAUAACUAAUUAUAUAAUUUACCUGUAAUUUGUGAAACGAAUCUUUUGAGCCUAGUUAGUUUAUAAUUGAACAAUAUUUUUCAAAUACAAACAAAAGUGAUGCACUAUCCAUUUUUCAAAAAAAAAAAUACAACUAAAAAAGGCCAUUAUAUGUACAAGAUUGGCGCCACGCGGCAGCUGCAG
rnacentral:lncRNA from 1 species